rnacentral:rRNA from 1 species
GAGUAAUGCGUGACCAACCUGCCCCAUGCUCCAGAAUAGCUCUUGGAAACGGGUGGUAAUGCUGGAUGCUCCAACUUGACGCAUGUCUUGUUGGGAAAGUGUUUAGUGGCAUGGGAUGGGGUCGCGUCCUAUCAGCUUGUAGGCGGGGUAAUGGCCCACCUAGGCUUCGACGGGUAGCCGGCCUGAGAGGGCGGACGGCCACAUUGGGACUGAGAUACGGCCCAGACUCCUACGGGAGGCAGCAGU